UGCGGCCCCGCUUAGGGUGUUCCCAGCCGGAGAGAAGAAACUCAUUACAAUUAGGGGCCAUUCUCUCGUCGUCUGGGGUGUUCACUCUCCGGCGAAAGGUAAGGUAGGUCUGCACGGCGCGGCGGGAGCGGCGUGGGCCUGCUGGCGGCCGCGGAGGCAGGAGCGGGGAAGCCCCCAGCGAGCUCGGCGCCCUCCGCUCCGAGAGGGCGCGCAGCAGCCGCCUCCAGCCUCGCAGGCCCUCUCCAAGGAGCCGGCUUUUCAGCGCUUCCAUUUCCUCGGGGCCUCAUCUAUCUUAUCUAACAAGUUCACGCUCCAGGAGAAGAGAAAAGGGUGAGAAUAAAAGGAAACCCCUUCACUGUAGUGAUUCAUCGUUCACAGGCACGGAAGCCCUACUCGCCGACCGGGCUUUCUUCUCCAAGGUUACUUUCUCUCCUGCGCGCCCUAGUACAAAGCCAGAAGGGAGAUACUCACACUGAUGACCUCUUAGCCCCAAAUUAUUGAUCUGUGUGCAUGCUUCCGGUGUGAUGUGCCAACACGAGACAUCUCGGCUGAAAAGGCAAAGGGAGACGUUGGGAUGAAUGGUUCUCUGCGUGCCUGCUGGUCUGCUCACCCCAUGCAGUUUUCUUUCUUCUCAUUCCUUCACAGACCAUCAGAGGGGUGAUCGCAAGCGCCUACUCGCUUCCCAGCCGGAUCAGAAGCGGAGGAGACGCUGGAGCGGCGAGGAGACGGCGACGAGUCACCCGGCGCGUGAGCGACGGCCCGGAGCCGGACGGAAGGGGAAGGAAGAGA